AACGAACGCUGGCGGCAUGCCUAACACAUGCAUGUCGAACGAAGCCUUCGGGCUUAGUGGCGCACGGGUGCGUAACGCGUGGGAAUCUGCCCUUGGGUUCGGAAUAACAGUUAGAAAUGACUGCUAAUACCGGAUGAUGUCCUCGGACCAAAGAUUUAUCGCCCAAGGAUGAGCCCGCGUAGGAUUAGGUAGUUGGUGGGGUAAUGGCCCACCAAGCCGACGAUCCUUAGCUGGUCUGAGAGGAUGAUCAGCCACACUGGGACUGAGACACGGCCCAGACUCCUACGGGAGGCAGCAGUGGGGAAUAUUGGACAAUGGGCGAAAGCCUGAUCCAGCAAUGCCGCGUGAGUGAUGAAGGCCUUAGGGUUGUAAAGCUCUUUUACCAGGGAUGAUAAUGACAGUACCUGGAGAAUAAGCUCCGGCUAACUCCGUGCCAGCCGCCGCCGUAAAAC
rnacentral:rRNA from 1 species